rnacentral:miRNA from 1 species
GCAUGAAGGGAGUCACGCAGG